rnacentral:sRNA from 1 species
GGUUUGUGAGUUUUGUUUGUCCCAGCUAGCUUGUUUAAAGUUUUGUCGGUAAUGGUACUUAUAAGAAAUUUCGUUGGCUGCUUUUUCUAUUUUGCUAGCAUCACCGUUAGCAAUUUUAGUUUUACUACUCUUAGGGGUUAGAGCUACCUUAUUGAUAAAACUAGCAUCACGUAAACCGCCUUCAUCUUGAAAACCAAUGGCGCUUACAGCAAUCUCAGCGCGGUUUUCAUUUGCUAGUUGUUCUGAUUGUUUUUCAGUGUUUUCAAUCGGGAUGAACUCAAACUUAGCACCAUCCCAAACCUUCAUCCGUCUUUCCUUUGCGCCGUUUAAUUUGACGUUAGCAAAAAUGUCCUUAGAGAAGUAAGAAGCAAUUAAGCUGGAAAGUUGUGUUCAGGUAUUAACAUCAUCGUUCAAGUUUAAACCAAACUCUCUUUUAGCAUCAGCAUACCAUUGUGCAGUAUUUUCACCCUUGGAUUCAAUACUACCUGGAUUUUGGCUUCAAUUUUUCAGCUUGCCAAUAAAAUCAGCUACUUGAAUGUAGUCAACUUCCUUAUUUUUGAUUUGUUCUAUAACCUUAUUGAUUGCUGCUUUGUCACUUUCAUUGUAAGGUUGAUCAGACUUUAAAUGCUCCUUUAAAUCAAGUGUUUGCGCAAACAGAUUGUGAAUGUUGACAAUGGCGUUUGUCAAAACGGGGUUAAAGUCAAAGGACAGUGUUGGUUGUUUGACAAAAACACCAUUCUUAAUUGCCGUAGCAUCCUCGUUGGUUUUUGGCACUAGUAACUUAUCGAGCUUAAAGUUAUUGUAAGUGUCAAUGCUAAAGGUCGAAUCCUUAAGUUUGUACUUUAGCUGUUGGUUGGAGGCUAUAUCACUCUUAGUGGUGUAAGUUUGACGUACAGCACUACCUAAACCUAAGUCAAUACUGCGAGUUUUUCUAACAAGCGUUUUAAUCUGGUUUUUAUUAACCCAUUGGUAAUUAGUCUUGGUACUCUUUGCUUUUCUAAUGUAAUCACUUACAGUAAUUGAUCUUUCCUGACCGUUUUCCUUGUAAAACAGUUUGCUGUAAGGUUCUAGCUUUAAAAAGAAGCGCGUGUCAGUGGUAUGACUACCUCAAUCAGGACUGUGCCAAUUGGAGUUACCACCUUCAGAAGUGAUGUUGGUGGUAAAGGCAUUGGGGUUAUUGUUGGUAUCCCAAAAAUCGGUAAAAAAGCCACUGUUAGCCCAGCCCUUAGUACCCUUGGUGUUAAAACCAGUUUGGUUGAACCAGAUGAAGAUUCCCUUAUCUGGAUCUAACCGCUCAGCACUGUAGAGAAUCUUCGAGCGAAUAUCACCCCAUAAAGGUUUGUUUUUAUCCCAUUUUCUGGGAGUUGGUUCUGGAACACGCUUGUCAAUAUGAUAUUCAUCAUUUUCCACCAAACCUAUGCGUUGGUUGGCAUAACCCAAAUCAAACCAAGCCACCCACUUUCAGUAAUAAGGGUUACUUGCUGUCCUUUCGCGGUUAGAGUA